rnacentral:rRNA from 1 species
GACGAACGCUGGCGGCGUGCUUAACACAUGCAAGUCGAACGGAAAGGCCCUGCUUUUGUGGGGUGCUCGAGUGGCGAACGGGUGAGUAACACGUGAGUAACCUGCCCUUGACUUUGGGAUAACUUCAGGAAACUGGGGCUAAUACCGGAUAGGAGCUCCUGCUGCAUGGGGGUGGUUGGAAAGUGUCGGCGGUUGGGGAUGGACUCGCGGCUUAUCAGCUUGUUGGUGGGGUAGUGGCUUACCAAGGCUUUGACGGGUAGCCGGCCUGAGAGGGUGACCGGCCACCUUGGGACUGAGAUACGGCCCAGACUCCUACGGGAGGCAGCAGUGGGGAAUAUUGCACAAUGGGCGGAAGCCUGAUGCAGCAACGCCGCGUGCGGGAUGACGGCCUUCGGGUUGUAAACCGCUUUCGCCUGUGACGAAGCGUGAGUGACGGUAAUGGGUAAAGAAGCACCGGCUAACUACGUG